UUAGGUUGGUACAAAAGUAAUUGCAGUUUUUGCCAUUGAAAGUAAUGGCAAAAACCAUAAUUACUUUUGUACCAAUCUAAUA
rnacentral:miRNA from 1 species